rnacentral:pre_miRNA from 1 species
UAUUAGGUUGGUGCAAAGGUAGUUGCAGUUUUUGCUAUCGAAGGUAAUGGCAAAAACCGCAAUUACCUUUGCACCAACCUAAUA